GACGAACGCUGGCGGCGUGCUUAACACAUGCAAGUCGAACGGAAAGGCCCUGCUUUUGUGGGGUGCUCGAGUGGCGAACGGGUGAGUAACACGUGAGUAACCUGCCCUUGACUUUGGGAUAACUUCAGGAAACUGGGGCUCAUACCGGAUAGGAGCUCCUGCUGCAUGGUGGGGGUUGGAAAGUUUCGGCGGUUGUGGAUGGACUCGCGGCUUAUCAGCUUGUUGGUGGGGUAGUGGCUUACCAAGGCUUUGACGGGUAGCCGGCCUGAGAGGGUGACCGGCGACAUUGGGACUGAGGUACGGCCGAGACAGCGACGGGAGGCAGCAGUGGGGAAUAUUGCACAAUGGGCGGAAGCCUGAUGCAGCAACGCCGCGUGCGGGAUGACGGCCUUCGGGUUGUAAACCGCUUGCGCCUGUGACGAAGCGUGAGUGACGGUAAUGGGUAAAGAAGCACCGGCUAACUACGUG
rnacentral:rRNA from 1 species